GGAGCCGAACUUCGAAGCCCCGAGGCUGGUGCCUUUCAUUCGCCCCACACUGACGCGGGAGAUAACACAUAUAUUUAGAGGAUUCUUCUGGGGAUGUGUGUGUGUGUGUGUGUUUUGUUUUUUGUUUUUGUUUUUUAAGUGUGAGGCAUAUUCAGUUUGGAAUUCUUUGCAGUAAUUAAGAUUUGGGAAAGGGUGAAUUUUAGAAAUAGGAGCCCUGCAAAUAAGUUUUAUUGGAAAUAGGGGGAAAGGGCUUGCGGAUAAGUGUGUGAUGAAACAGAAUUACGAGUUCCUCCAGGGGAGGCCACUCCUUCGAAAGCUGCUAAUGCAUAAUUGUAAAGCCCUGGGGAGAGCCUUCUGGAUUGUUCCUUAACUGCAAGCACACACAAGCCGGACAAGCCCUGCGCGCAGAAAGGUCGGGGUAAUGGGGCGGCCAGGGAAUGGUCUCUAGGCCAGCAGAGCUGCGAGGGCGGUGGCCCCAGCUCUGGCCUCAUGUCCUCCUUGGCACGGUGCUUCCAGCCACCUGCCAACGGGCUGACGCUAGAUUCUAGGGAGAUUUCCGUUGUCUUAAUCCCGACACCCGGGCUUCUCAUCUCCAUGUUCACAGCACAUGCCAGGAGGUGAGGGAAACACCGAUGGCUUUUGAGACAUCUGAUUUGACGACGGUGCGCAUCAAGCUGCGUGUCAAGGACACUUGAAGGUGCCCUCUCCAAGAAGAGCUACCUGGCUCUUUCCUUCUUCUAUGAUAGAAACACGACCUUCAAGUUAUGAUGGACCCCGCUGCAUCUCAGGAACGUAAGGGACCAUAAUUGGAGAGUGCUGUCCGCGCCGAGAUGCGCAUAAAGGAGGUAGAGCCAGAAAUGAGUCAGAAGGGCAGAGAGGUGGGUGUGGCACCCAUGGGACUUGGGGGAGGGGAGGGGCCUGGUGCCCGCAGAGCCCUGAGGCAAAGGCCUGUCCUUUGGGUGGAGUGAGUGUCGAGGUAUGUGGACAAAUCCCGAGAUGGAGCCCUGUGGGAGCUCCGGUGUUCCAGAUUGCCCACAUCUGUCAUCUGGGCUGGGGCCGGUCCUGGGGCCAGAGGUGGACACAGCCCAGGGACGAGCACAGCAAGAAAGCAGGGUCUGGCGUCCCCACAGACGCCACAACCAAUCUCUGGAUCUGAGCCUGAGCGCUCGGUCAGGUCACAGGGCAGGAGGCCAGGGGUAGGGGUUGCGAGACCAGGUCGGAGAGACGUGGGCAAAGGAAGUAGCAGCCUUGGGCUCGAGCGGUGGAGGCGUCUUCCGGGGUGAGAGCGUUUAAUUCCACUUUAUUUGGCAUUUCCGACUCCCUUGUUCUGUCUUUUUGUAGAAAAGGACACACUGAGAGAUUGUCGACUGCUUUGAUACAAAAAUAUAACUCCGUCCCAUUCCUACUUUCUAGUCUACCGAUUCUCUUCUUUUAUUACUAUUCUUUAAAGAAGUGGCUGCAGUACAACGUCUUCUUUGCGGGCUGACGGUGGUGCUGAGCUGCCCUCACACGCAGUCCUUGUGCACAGACAUCCACUCCGUCGUGCUCUCAAUGCUCCCGUUCCCAUGGGACAGGACAAAACGGAGAUGUGGACUCCUACGCACAGAGAGAUCGUGAUUUCAAAAAUCACACAUCUAACACAAGUGGCAGGAAAUGUGGAAGAAAGCCGACAGUCAGCCUUAGGUGCCAGACCUUUUAGGGAAUUUCCUUUCCUUUUUUUUUUUUUUUCUUUUUGUUUGUUUAUUGGAAAUUUCCACAAGUGACUUUGCUCUGCUUUUAUAGUGACAACCGAAUCAAUAUUAAAACCAAGCCAAACCAACCCAGGGAUCAUGAGCAGCAUGAGGAGGUCAGGCCGUGGUCCUCCCUGGGCAGGGACUCCUUCUCCCACAGGGUCAAGCCCAGUCCCUGGGAUGCCCGGGCUCUGAGGCCUCUUCUCUGUCCAGCCUCUGGCCCCAACCCUGAUGUGUCACCUCAGUCAGCGUGUCCCGAACCUGCUGAUGAAGUAAGCAACAGAACACAUACCACUGUCAGAGAUGGGGAGUUGGAAAGGGGGUGCAGGCCGCGGAGGACAUGGAAGAGGGGAGCUGGUCAGGGUCGCACAGAAACAGAUGCACUUUCGCGCUGCUCCUCAUUGGCCGAACCCAACCAGAGCUCAUGCGUGGGAGUCCAGCUGAUGGGCAUCCCAGGGUCCAGAGCAGGUGACAAAGCAUGGAGGCAGGAACCACAAGGGAAGAGAACAGCUGGGCCCAGUCACAAAGCUCGAGAUGGUCACCUCAGUGCAGCUGGUGUUUUCUUCUGUGAAAACCUGCACUCCGUCCCAGCUCUGCUCCUGCUCCAGGGGCCAGCCUAUUUGUUUUGUUUUGUUUUUUUCUAAGAUUUUAUUUAUUUAUUUGAGAGAGAGAAUGAGAGAGAGCACGAGAGGGGGGAGGGGCAGAGGGAGAAGCAGACUCCCCGCCGAGCAGGGAGCCCGAUGCGGGACUCGAUCCCGGGACUCCGGGAUCAUGACCCGAGCCGAAGGCAGUCGCCCAACCGACUGAGCCACCCAGGCGCCCGGGGCCAGCCUAUUUGUGCCCCGACACCUUCCCUGGGCACUUUGUUUCCAGCUUCACCAAGGCCAGCACAGACCGCUCCCAGAGACCCUGCCCAGAUCUGCAAGCCCAGAUCUGGGAGCUGAAAUGUUGGAUUCGGAAGCUGAAGAGUUCCCACCUGCUGCAGAAUCCUCCCAGAGCUCCGCCUCCAAGGGCACUAGGCUCCUGGGAGAAAGUUUCUAUCCUUUUGUUCACACACACUUGCUGUGGCCUUGCCGUGUGUGGGCAGCAUCUCUGCAUUCACCGGUAGAAAUGCUGACCUUGAGAAUGGGCCAGAGAAUUCCUUGACAGACACAAAAAGAGGCUAUCCCAGACCAGCACUCCUUACUGGUUGUUUACCGUGCACAAAGCACCAAGGGCCUAAGGGACGCCUGGGGGGCUCAGUCGGUUAAGUGUCUGCCUUCUGCUCAGGUCAUGAUCUGCAGGUCCUGGGAUCAAGCCCCACAUCGGGCUCCCUGCUCAGCGGGAAGCCUGCUUCUCCCUCUGCCUCUCCCCUGCUCGUGCUCCCUCUCUCUCUCAUACUCUCUGUCUCUCUCUCAAAGAGAUAAAUAAAAUCUUAAAAAAAAACCCCAAAACACAAAGGGCCUAUGACCUUCUAAGCAACCCUCCACACCUCCCCUCACCAAAAAAUUUAUGGUAAUUUGGAUAAAAGAUAUGUGGACUCUGAGACAUGAAAGGAAAACUGAAAAAUCAAGAUUAAUAAAUUAAUAAUUUAAUAAACUAAUAAAAUUCGUACCCUUUCAAUUUUUUAAAAUCCUAUUUUCUGUCCUCUAAAUAUAUGCCAGUUGGUGGUCUCAAGUCCCAUUCCCCCUCCUGAAAUUGCCUUUCUUAUAGGUUCCGCCAAAUUUGACUCCCUUUGUUUUCUUUAGAUUCUUUAGAAUUCAGUAAGUCUGUGUCUAAGGGUUUGACAACAUGUUGUAAGCUGGCUGGUCGUCUGGAGAGCUGUGCUAGAGAUGGAGUUAGGGAUGAAGAGUUUGUUGGGGGUAAUGGCUGUGACAGCUAAGGGGAGAGGGCAGGACUGAGCCGGUGGGGGUGGGGUGGGGGGGACAUCAGGCCAUGGUGCAGACUAGACAGUCCCUGCUCCCCACCUAAGAGGGAGUGCUGGAGGAAAAUGCCCAAGAGAGGAGCUCUGCGUUGGGUGGGAAAACCAAGCCCUUGCAUGGCCUUGCUGGGUCAUUGGUUGGGGCCACCUAAAGAGGACCAUGACCUUGUCUUAAAGCUGAGGUGGACCCUGAAGGAGCCCACAGCUGGAGGUGUCAGACGAAUGUGCCCCCCACCCCCAGCCUGGUAGCGAGCCCCUUCUCAAAGUUUCAUCCUAGUGGCACUUCUGCACGUCAGCAAGCACUUCCUUUGGACCUUGAUGAAAUCCUGUUUUGUUGGCUGCCGUGUUGAUUGAUGAAAAGCAGACGUUCACAGAAGGAGGAAUCACAUUCAGGAAGUUAAGACGCCCACAUCUGGAACCAAACUCUGGCCAGGGGAUCUCCUGACCCUACUUGCCACUUUUAUUCUUGCUGAAGCUUCCUUGUGAGGAACUUUUCCAUGCUGAACUUUCUGGAAAAAGCUGCAGAUCUCUUUCUACUCGGGGACCAGAUAAAGCCCACGGGUUCUUCAAGAGAGGGUCUCAUUUCCAGAAAGCAGUGGCCUCUGCAGGCAGGAGAUGGUAGCGGACCACGGGGUGGGGUGCGGGGGCUGGUGUUGUCCUCCAAGAGGCUGAUGACGAUGAACCCAGGCCUGCCAGGCGCACAUAUGUAGUUUAGAUGGGUCCAGGCCAGGGUGACUGUCACAGAAUGAUUGGUAUCCAGAACUAUGCUCCCUGGGAUUGGUGUUUAUUCCAUAAUUUUCAACUCAGUGGAUGGUCUUUAGUUCCCAUAGCUGUGGAGAACUUUUCUGAUUAUGAAUUAUUAUGAAGUGGUAUUUUCAAAACUUCAGUCUAAAAAUAAUGGAUUUGGAAUGGUUCAGAGCAAGCUUCUAAAUAUUUCAACACUGCCUUGCAUCUUUGUUUCAACUUUUGCCUACUCAGACUGAAAUUGCUUAAGAUUUAUGAAUCUGGUAAAAGAAUGCGCUGGUGUUAAAGUCUCUAUAGAAAAAAAAUAACUAAAAAUAGCAUUAAUUUGCACAAUUUGGUAAUUAUACCAUGAAGCAUUGUGGAAGACUACAAUGAUCUCAUCAAGGCAAUCAAAGGAUUUCAUGACUGGAAGGGCAUCGAUUUUCCACAGUGAUUUCAGAAACACAUGUCCUGAUAUGUCAAAUCCCCUCUCUUUCCAGAACGGUCUCAACUGUUUAAAAGCAUAUGAAGCAGGAAGGAAAACACGAGGUCUGCUUUCCCUAGUUUCUUAACCACCGCACGUGGGUUGUGUAGUUAAGAAAAAGGCUUUGUUUUGCUUUCUGACAAAUGACCCCAUUUUAUCGCAUUUUAUCUCCUUUCAGUGCAGGGAUUCUAUGACUUGACCCUCCCAAGCUUGUCUUUGAAUCUCAGUCCCCCUCAAAGACUGAGAGGCUGGAUAGGAGGCAAUGGCUCAUCACCGUAGCUGGUGUUAUAUUCUAACAGGCAGGGUGGGCGUCCGUGAGGGUCAGCGCAGCGCUGGUCCCCAGAAGGGCCACUGAGGUGUCGCUGCAGGUCUUUGGGGGCUCAGGCAGGAAAGCUGGAAUAAGAGGAACUUUUUCAGAGUUGGUGUUGGCCAAGGGCAAGCAAAAAAGCGUGUUUCUCUUUCCAGCAUAAAAGGCAGUAUAUCAAAUGAAAGUUAUUUGUGUCAGAAUCAUUUCACUGAAGAUUAACUGUGUAGUUCUAUGCUCCUUUGGUCAGUGAAAAAGUGAGUUUUUAUGGCAUGUUGUAUUACACAACCCCGGGCUUAUGUUCUUCAUUUAUUAUUGAGUGUGUAUGAGUGUGUGAGUGUGUGAGUGUGUGUGUGUCUUCUUUUUUACCUAUACCCAUUGCCAUCACUGGCUCUAAAUUUUCCAUGCUAUAGGAAGGAAUUGGCAGGAGCUAAAGUGUCUAGUUUCCUGUGGUUGUGGUAACAAAUGACCACAAUCAGGUCACAAAGAGGGGGAUAUAAAAUAAAAUAAGUUUAUUCUCUCACAGUUCUGGAAGCUGGAAGUCGGAAAUCAAGGUGUUGAAAAGCCAUGUCCCCUCUGAAGGCUCAGAGAAGCCUCCCUUGCUGUGUCUCCCGGCCUCGGGCCAUUGCUGGCGCUCCCUGGUGAUCCCUGGUGAUCCCUGAUGAUCCCUAGUGCUCCCUGGCGCUCCUCGGCACACAGAUGCCUCCCCACUGCCAUGCCUGCCUCCAUGUCCCUCGGCCACCUUCUCUGUGAGCAUCGCUCCUCUGUGGCUCUGUCCAAAUUUUCCCUUCUCAUCAGGACACCAGUCCCUAGGGCCCAUCCUGAUCCAAGAUAACUUCAUCUUAACUUGAUUGUAUCUGCAGAGACUCUAUUUCCAAAUAAGGUCACAUUCACAGGUACCCAGAGGUUAGGACCUAAAUAGACCUUUCUGGGGGAUCCAGUUCAACCCACAGAAAAGGACAAUCAUACAAUUAAAAGGCGGACAGACCGGGAGCAUCUGUAACAGCUUCGGUUUUAGCUCAUGGUCCUCCCUGAUUCACUGAGGGGGCCCUUUUCUCUCAUGUGGGAUCACGAGCCACGUUCAGACUUGGUGGGAGACAGGUGUCCUGACUGAUGAGCAAGGUAUCCAAAUGUGCUGUGGACAUAGGAGGGGGGAUGGAAGCGCGUAUACAGCUGACCUGACAACCUGGUGCAUUAUUUCUUGGCUGAAAUAUUCGCUCCUGGGUGUUACAUACCCGUAUUCGUGAAGCGAGCCAAUACCUCAAUCCCCAUAUUCAAAACCAAGCUCUUCACUUAAAUCUGAUUUCACCCCAGCUCCCACCAAAGAUUUGUCAUGCUAUACAAAUGAGCACUCACUUAGCCAGUGUCCCUGGGAUGUGUAGGGCCACAUUCUGGUCACCCACCAUUCAGAUACAUCCACAGAAAGUGCAUUUUUCAAAACAAGAUGUGGGCUUUCUGAAAUUACAUCAUAAAUCCUUGACUGGGAUGCUAAGAAAUUUAAAAGUUUCAUGGAAGGGAAAACAGAAUUGUGUUUCUUUUACUCUUAUAUAUUACCUUAUGUUCCAUGGUUACUAAGAAAUCCUAACAAAAGAGGACAUGUUAUGUCAUUUAUCCCCGAAUUUUGUGAGUCUUAUUCAUAGAUUUCACCUCUAGUCAUGCA